AUAAAAUCAGCUGGAUGUGGUGGCACAUGCCUGUGAUUCCAGCUACCCAGGGAGCUGAGGCAUGAGAAUUGUUUGAACCAGGAGGCGGAGGUUUCACUGAUCACACCACUGCACUCCAGUCUGGGUAACAGAGCAAAACUCUUGUCUCUUAAAAAAAAAUUAAUAUGUCUAUCAUUUUGAAUUGUAAUAUUUUGUAAUGCUUCCUUUUAACAUUUACAAACAGAGGAUACUAACCUAUUGAAAUUUUGUGAAGUAAUAAAAUUGUAAUUUGAGCUGUGCCCCUGAGACUGCAAUACUCAGUGCCUUUAGGACUCAUGUCACAUAGAUUAAACUUAGAAGGAAACACAAAUCCAAAAUUAUGGCCAGGGUGUUGUUGACUCACAUGACCUCUUCAGAAGGCAGUUUCAUUCUGCCAGGGUUAAAGAUAAUGUAACUUUCUAGCCAUCCCACUUCCAGGAAUGCUUCACCAGAUACAUUCAUGCAUGGGCGCCAGGAGUGACACAGAAAAGGCUGUUCACUGUAGCAUGGUUUAAAUAGCAAGAUUACUUUAUAGGUCUUAUAUAAUGAGAUGGAUUUACAAUUGAAAUGCAGAAUGGUAGCUGAGAUGCAUUGACCAGUGAUAUAUGCAGAGCUACAGAAGACUUUGUAUAAAUAUAACCAUGAAAAAGCAUGUGCUUCUGGUGCAUGUUUGUAUUUGCACAUGCAAUGCAGGGAUGAUAUGCAAACAAAAAUGCUGACUUGGUGUUUGGGAGUUGGGAGUGGAAGGAAAACUUCCUUCAAACUCUUUCAAAUAUUUAGAGUAAUUUCUAACCAUAAAUAUGUAAUACAUUUAGAAAUCUAAGUUAAUAAGAAAAGCUUGCAGUUCCUGGCCUUCUGCUGGGCACAUGUCUGAUGGACAUGGGACUGUCAUAAUAAGUAAUGUGUGCAAACUGAGAAAAAUCCAAGAAUGAGAAUCUGCUUUUUUCAUCAAAUAAUUCUUAAGAGAAGUAAUGUGGCAGUUAUUGCUUAUUGAUAUAUUAUGAAUAUCGUACUAGAUAAUAAUUUCUAACAUUUGAACUGUAGAAUUUACACAUGUUUAAUUGAAAUACCUAGAUAAAAAAUUGAAAAACAUAGAUAAAAUAUUGUGACUAAUAUAGACAAACAGUUGCUUUCUUGACAUUUUACAAACUGAUCACCGUUCCUCGUGGCACAGGUUCAUGUGAAAUGAAGUAGCUUGCUUUGUUUGGGAAAGGCAAUGAUGACUGCAAGAAUCACUUCAAAAACUCAAGUGCAAUGGAGAUUUCAAUUGUGUUCUGUUUAAUACUUGAAUAUUUAAUUGCAUUCCCUGGUUAUUUCUCAUCCUAAUAGCUCUCACCCACAUCAUGUGGGUUCCAUUAGUACAGAUAUCUCUGAAUGUUGCACUCUUCCAUUACAUUGAGUCAAUUGCUUAUUACCUUGGGCCUCCAUUUGGGGCUAUUCUCCUGCCUAUCAUCUCCCCGUCUAUAGUAAAAGAGUCAAUGAGCAGGUAAGUGAAUGCUGAAAAACACUUUUCCUGCUGGAGUGAGAAAUAAGUCGUUUCUUUCAAUACGGUAGUAAAAUGCAACUUUCCCAGCCUAUUUAUAUGACUCAAAGCCCAGAUGUCGUUAGCCUCAAUUCCUGAUUGUCAUCAGUGUGUGUAAAUACAUAGCACAUACAUAUUCUAGUCUGUAUUUUUUUUUUUUUUUUUUUUUUUUUUGAGACGGGCAUGGUGGCUCACGCCUGUAAUCCCAGCACUUUGGGAGGCCGAGGCGGGUGGAUCACGAGGUCAAGAGAUCAAGACCAUCCUGGUCUGUAUUUCUUUUGAAAUGUUUUUGUCUCCUAUGGCACAGUGCAGAAGAACACAGGUGUUGGUGUCAGACUGCCAGGGUCCAAUCCUGCCUCUGCUGUAGUGCAAUGUAGGUAAUAUCUGGCCUGCAUUUGGUUACAUGUAGGAACUCUGUAUGUUUGUCUUGGUUUAAUGAUUUUUAAAUGCUACUAAAUUCAACUUCUGAGGAAGCUGUUUAGAUUGUAGAAAAUGGAAACUUUAAAAAUUCUUCUUCCCAGAAGCCAAGAACAUUAACUCAUGUCAAGCCUACCCACUUAUCCACCUGUCCAUCUCUCUGUCCAUCCACUCAUCAUCCAACCAUGGAACUCGGUGCCAACUCCUGAGGUGAUAAUGGAUUCCAGACACCCUUGUUCUUCCUAGUCACAUAUUAAAGUGUUCAUAAGUUGACCUUGAUUGACUGUGAUAAGCAUCAAGCCCACUUGCUCCAACACUGUGGACUGCUAUCCCCCAACGCCCCCUCCAGCUCAGUCAGGCAGGCAGGAUUCUGUGCUUCAUAACAAGCUUACUAGAAUAUUUCCACCACUUACACAAGAGGUAAAAAAAAAAAAGUUGUCUACCCUUUAAUAUUUGGUUUUAGUAUGACAUCUCUCAUAAAUAUUUCUCUAGCAGCCAUUCCCAGAGCUUGUUUUUCCCCUAAUAUUUUAAAAACACUGAAAAGCUUUAGCAAUAUGCCAUGUCAUCUUGCACAAUACACUGAUUGCCUAGUUUUCUUUGGUUUGGUUUUGGUUCUUGAAAUUGACUUAAAGAUCAGUGCUUUCUACUUCUACUCUGUUUAUUGCAUCUGUGCUCCUGAGGAAGAUUAGCCUGUGGUUUUCUUCUAGGACUUGCAAGAGGUAACCUUGCUUUGGAGAUGAGAAAUCUGACAUUCUAGAGGUGAAACACUCACCUAAGAGGACCAGGAAGUCAAGUCCAUGUUUAAUGUCAAAGUCCAUUGUUUUCCAGCAGCCAUGACACCAUUUCUUACUGUAUUAGUAAACACUUGGUAGGGACACUCACCUUUAAAAUCCCCUGUGGUUGGUCAUUUCAUGAGUGUAUUGUGUGUUCCUGGCAGUGUAUUGUACAGCACUGCCUAUGAGGCAUGGAGGAGUCUCACAUGAAGGUUGCCUGCAUUAGUGGGGAGUUCCUGAAGCUGCUGCUCAUGUUCCUCACAGGGAAGCCAGGGAUGAUCAACCCCAUUCUGUACACAGGCAAGCCAUGAACCAAGGGCCUCUCUUUCAAGGUAUGAACUCUGAGGAAUGUUUCUAAGGUGUGAGGAAACAUGAAAAACUAGAAAAGACCAGAGGGACAGAAGAGUUUGUGCAGCAGUCAAAGGAAGGGAUAUUUGGUGUGUUUGCUGCUCUGCUCACCUCACUCUUCAACCUCCCUGCUGGAUUUUUAGAGUCAUUUGGGUAUGGGUGUCCCGUUUUGGUGAGUGGCUUGGACUGGAGGAAGUCCAUAGAGUAUGGCAGAGGGUACUGGAGGUUGAGGUAUAAUGAGGUAAAUGUGAAUUGGAUAAGAUGGACUAGCUGCAUCUGGUGACAUUUCUGUCUGUGUAGGUAUUUGAAUAUGCACUGCCACUUCUUGGUCCCCAUGAGACAGCUAGAGAACUGAAUUGACUUUCACUGCUCUGGAAUCAGUUUGUUUGUAAUAGUUUAAUUUACUCAUCGGGUAACAUCAAUUAUUGAAAAUAUUCCUGGAAAUGAACUUUCUGCCAUCAUUAUGAUUAGUGAAGAAAAUAGAAGCUUUCUUGGGAAAUCAACAAAAUACUUGCUUGGUUUGUAUUUAUGCCUCAUAAGUCAUAGCAUACAGCCAUUAGCCAGUGCUUGCACCCUCUGCUGGCCUCAGGACUAGGAGGUCAGGGUGGCCUCUCUCAUGAGCCUCUGACCUAUAACCUCAGUAGCAGCAGCACCCCUUCUCCAUGGACUUCCACACUAAGGUCCAGAAACAGGUGUCAGAGAGAGAGAGAGAGAGAGCUCCUUCUCACAGGGGGUUGCCGAGGGGCCCCUGGGCUCUGCCUAGAAUUCUCCUGGGGAAGUGCCGAUGGAGAAGUGGAUUAGAGGCUUCAGUGGUUGGUUCCAGUGAAACUAACUACAGAGUGCUAGAGUAGGGUAAGAGAAAGGAGAAGUUAUUUAGGUUCUGUUUCCACAUACAAAAACUAGGGCCCUAUUUUUAAAUGAAAUAGUUUUCUUCCUUUGAAGUGUCUCUGAUUGUACCUGACUUCUGCUCACACUCCUGAUGUUCAACCACAUAUUCAAAAAACUCCAUUUGUGUUUUUCAUGAGGGAUGAAAUUAUUACCUGUUCUGACAGGCAAAUGCACUGUCCAGAUGUCCCUAUAUACAUCACAUAAAGGAGGAAACAGAUGAAUCAUCCACACGCUAACACAGAUGAGUUUAUCAAUUGCAGCUGUUAAGGAUGGGCCGAUGUUACCAAGGGACAGAGUCGGGGAAGGUACUCAUUCCAAGAGGCUGCUGCAAGAGUUCAGUCAACCCAGGACAGCUAGAGCAACCUGGGCCUAAAGCCAGGGGCUGGCAGGUGACAGAUAGAAAGAAUGGACCACAGAGUCUCCUUUUUCUCCUGCAUUUUCAAUAGACCAUAUAUUGUCAUAGUAUUUUGUGAAACAUUUAAAAAUCUGAAGUAUGACAUACAUACAGAAAAUACAUGAAACCUAAAUAAUACAGCUCUGUGAUUUAUCACAAGAUGAGCACCCAUGUAACUACAAGUCAGGUCAAAAAAUAGAAGUUACCUGUACUCGAAAACUGUCCUUGGUUUCCAAAGAUAACCACUACAACUUCGUGUGCUAAAGUUUGCUCCUUUUUAGUUUGCACUUAUUUUAAAUAGAAUAACUCAGGAUGUAUUCCUUGAUUUCCGGAGGCUUUUGCUCAUAAUAAGUUUGGAACAGUCAGCCAUGUGGCUGUGCAUAGCUGCAGUUCAUUCAUUGUCUUGCUACACUUGCUAUUCAAUUUUGAGUUCUUUAAAAAUUGAAUGAAUCAGGUGAAAAGGAAUGUUGGUGAAUAUUCUAACAGAAAAACAAUUGGAUCUUGACUCUUUUAAAAAAUGGUCCUAUUGAUAAAGUGAUAUUUUAGCUAAGUGUGAUAAAAAUAAUAUGGCUUGGAUGUACCAUUUUUCUUUUUGUUGUUCCAAACUGUGGAGUUUAUUGGUUUAAAUAAUGAAAACACGUUCUAUCAUCCCAGCUUUACACUUGCUGUUUCUUUAACAGCCUUCCCAUUGGGGCAGGAUGGAAGUAGGAACCCCAGUAAUCUCCCCUUAAACUGGAGUCUUUCCUUCUCCACAGCUCUCUUAUUGGAUGGGAUAGACUGGGCACCCAGGCCUGAGGUAAGGACAUGCCCUAUCACCUAGAGGUGCAAUGCCUGGGAAGACCAAUCUUGAAGGGGUUCUGCCACCUUUGCAGGGACAUAGGUGUUGGGAGGCACUGACUACCAAUUGGUAAGGCUGUGCUUUGUUGGUGACAUGAUUGUUUCACAGGUAGCUGGGGAGGGACAGUCCCAAGGCCUUACCUGGCCAUGGUCCUGGCUCUGCACCAAGGCAAUAAGAGAGGAAUGGUGCUAAGGGAUGACAGGUUGCUGUGGAAGGUGCCGGACUGAAAUUCAGGAGGCAGAAGAUACAGUGGUCUCAUAGGAGAUGGAGGAUUCAUCAGCGUGUGCUGCACUGAGCAGAAGGAAGGAAAGCUGCUACAAAAAUUAGAGGAGAGUGAGCGAAGGGAGUGUCCUUCCUCCAGGUAUGUGGGGUCCUUCUGAAGAGGUGAGCCCUGUGGCACUCCGGGGAAGGAGCAGUGAGGCUGCAUGCAGUUGAGUACAUGGUGUUUUCUGAGGACACCCAGGAGCAAGGCGGGUCGGUGAGGAGCCCGUGGCAGAGUGAGAGGAAACAAGGCCUGGAGGGCAGCUGGAGGCCAGGCUCUGGGGGCUACUCCACAUGCUAUGGGAAGAGCAGAGCCCAGUGGGUGGGAGGCACAGGACACAGCUGCUGAUGACAGAAAAAUGAGGAGAGCAGGCCAUGCACUGAACCCUGACUUUGUUCUGGGCAUUGGGCUAAAGCUUUCCAUGGCUUAUCCCAUUUAGUGGCUGGAAGCUGCAGAGGUUUCAGAAGCUCACUCAAGAUGCUAGAGCCCCCAUCUCCUGCCCUAAUGCUGUCCCCCUUUUCACCCAGCCACCACCUAUUUCAGGAGAACACACAGAAGUGAUGAUCUUUUAUGAACAGACAACUCUAAGGAAUAUCUUGGAUGUCUUCAUGGGGCUUAUGACAUUCUGAGGUUUGCAAAAUAAAUGCCCCCAGCUGAGCAAAGACAGGGCUUCAGCACUGAAGGGAGCAGCUGCCAGACCCACCAGAGAGGCCUCCUGGAGCACACGAGGACCCCCACUACCCCCUGGCAAGGGCUACAUCCACGGCUGGUUUGCCUGAACUGUAUCUGAGCCAUGAAGAGUAUUUAUUAAGCAUAGGAUAAUUUUACCAAGUUUCACUUUUAUAGCUUUUGUUUCAAAAGUUGUUUGUGGAUAAUUUAAUGAAGUGCCUGUAAACCAGAAUUCCCCUUUUCAAUAUUUCUUUGUGUUGAUGUAGAAAAAGUUGACGAUUUUAAAAGCCAGUGAGAUGCCCCCAUCUGUGGAUGUCAGCAGGAGCAUCGGAUCUGAAGCCAUUCUCUGGAGGCUCUGCAGGAAGAUUGUCCUGGCUUAAGCUUACUUUUGGCAGGUUCCAGAGCCUUCCAUUUGAAAGGAGCAUCUCUCCCCACUCUGCCCCAACCAUCACCAGCUCUUCUUUUCUUCUUUAGGAAGUCACCACCCACUGACUUCUUUUUUCUUUUUCCUUUUACUUUAAGUUCUGGGGUACAUGUAUAGAUCUUGCAGG